CGUCUACAUGAUACGGACGAGAAAACCGCAGGAGAGUGUGUUCGGCGUGCGCGAGAAGAAAGUCGUACUGGUCUGAAACGGCAUGACGUGAAAGUCAUCGGGGUCCAGUAAUGUUUCUGUGAUGCGAUCUGGUCCAGAUUCUCUCUUUUUCUCCCAGUCGUGUCCUUUUCCCCACUGUACUAAGUGGAAAGAAGACCAAUUGCAGAUUGUCCGGAGUAAAUGUAUACAGAUGCUGCUAAAAACACACCAUAAAAAUGGCUGUGCCACUGAUGCACUACCUCUUUUGA